UGCGUCUGGCCUCGUCUCAGGAGUGUGUGAAGCCCUCUGAGUACUCCUGUGAUGUCACGUGUGGACCUCACAGCGGGAGACUGGAUGUGGAGCUGGGGAUCUGCCACUGUGAGAGGUAUGUGUCAUCAGAGGAGCUGUGUGAUGCGCUCUGCACCUCCCAGCUGCCCCUCAUCUCUGCCAGACGCUCCGCAGACGGACAGCUGCUGCUGGGGGUCAAAGCCCAGGAGGACAGCCACAGCUGGAAUAGAAAACUGGGCAAUGUGGUGGGCCCUGACACUCACGUCCAGGACAUCGGGAAGAUUCACUUUGUGCAGUUUGACUCUGAUGGAGUGUUUGGCUGGAUUCUUAAAGAUCC
rnacentral:lncRNA from 1 species